rnacentral:tRNA from 1 species
GCGGGCUUGGCCGAUCGGUUAGGCGCCAGCUUCCCAAGCUGGUAAUAGGCGAGUUCGAUUCUCGCAGCCCGCUCCA